rnacentral:rRNA from 1 species
CCUACGGGCGGCAGCAGUGAGGAAUAUUGGUCAAUGGACGAGAGUCUGAACCAGCCAAGUAGCGUGAAGGAUGACUGCCCUAUGGGUUGUAAACUUCUUUUAUAUGGGAAUAAAAUGUUCCACGUGUGUGAUUUUGUAUGUACCAUAUGAAUAAGGAUCGGCUAACUCCGUGCCAGCAGCCGCGGUAAUACGGAGGAUCCGAGCGUUAUCCGGAUUUAUUGGGUUUAAAGGGAGCGUAGGUGGAUUGUUAAGUCAGUUGUGAAAGUUUGCGGCGCAACCGUAAAAUUGCAGUUGAAACUGGCAGUCUAGAGUAAAGUAGAGGUGGGCGGAAUUCGUGGUGUAGCGGUGAAAUGCUUAGAUAUCACGAAGAACACCGAUUGCGAAGGCAGCUCACUGGACUGAAACUGACACUGAGGCUCGAAAGUGUGGGUAUCAAACAGGAUUAGAUACCCCAGUAGUC